GCUCCACUGGCGCAAUGGUAGCGCGCGAGACUUCUAAGUCGUCGUAACACGCUAUCUCGAGGCUGCGGGUUCGAGUCCCGCGUGGAGUA